GGGAGGCAGCAGUGGGGAAUAUUGCACAAUGGGCGCAAGCCUGAUGCAGCCAUGCCGCGUGUGUGAAGAAGGCCUCGGGUUGUAAAGCACUUUCAGCGGGGAGGAAGGCGGUGAGGUUAAUAACCUUGUCGAUUGACGUUACCCGCAGAAGAAGCACCGGCUAACUCCGUGCCAGCAGCCGCGGUAAUACGGAGGGUGCAAGCGUUAAUCGGAAUUACUGGGCGUAAAGCGCACGCAGGCGGUCUGUCAAGUCGGAUGUGAAAUCCCCGGGCUCAACCUGGGAACUGCAUUCGAAACUGGCAGGCUAGAGUCUUGUAGAGGGGGGUAGAAUUCCAGGUGUAGCGGUGAAAUGCGUAGAGAUCUGGAGGAAUACCGGUGGCGAAGGCGGCCCC
rnacentral:rRNA from 1 species